CAAUAGCGUAUAUUAAAGUUGUUGCAGUUAAAAAGCUCGUAGUUGAACUUCAGGCCUGGCUGGGCGGUCUGACUCGCGGUAUGUACUGUCCGGCUGGGUCUUACCUCUUGGUGAGCCUGCAUGCCCUUUAUUGGGUGUGUAGGGGAACCAGGACUUUUACCUUGAAAAAAUUAGAGUGUUCAAAGCAGGCCUACGCCUGAAUACAUUAGCAUGGAAUAAUAAAAUAGGACGUGUGGUUCUAUUUUGUUGGUUUCUAGAAUCAUCGUAAUGAUUAAUAGGGAUAGUUGGGGGCAUUAGUAUUCAGUUGCUAGAGGUGAAAUUCUUGGAUUUACUGAAGACUAACUACUGCGAAAGCAUUUGCCAAGGAUGUUUUCAUUAA
rnacentral:rRNA from 1 species